AAUAACAAAAGUCAAAAGGGAAGGAGGAAAGAGGGGGACAACAUGAGGAAAAUGGGAAUCUCUACUAAAAAAAAUAAAGACACAACUUUGAAGAGUAAAAAGGGCAGCUGAACACCUAAUAGUAAGCUGAAAAUUGUGAGUUUUUCUGAGUGAAAUCUUAGAGUGCAAAAAUAAAAGGAUCUCUUAGGUGAUUCUUGAAAUUACUAGAGGGAUUAGUCUCAUGUGCUUCUUGCUGGUUUUUCUGGGUUAUUCUUGGAUCACAAAGCUGGGUUUCUCUGCUGUUUUGCGGUUUAGCUGAGUUCGGUAGUCGAAGAUUUUUCUAAGUCUUCAUUGUUGUUUCUAUAUCUUUCUGCUACCAAGGUGUCUUGUCAUAGCCUCGUCACUACUUCGUCGAAGUUAGGCUCGACACUUACCAGUACAUGGGGUCGGUUGUACUGAUACUGCACUCUUCACUUUCUGUACAUAUUUUGGUAUUGGUCCCAGUUGAUCGAGAGGCGUAGCAGCUCAGAUUGGUUCAUCGGAGUCUCGAAGUAGAACUGUUGGCGUUCGCAGACCUUGAAGUCCGUGUCUAUAUUUUUUUUCUUUAUUGUUUCUUUCAUUCAAACAGUUGUAUUUCUUUCAGACUUGUACUUAUAGUAAAUCCUAGAAGUUCGUGAAUUGUGACUCCAGAUCCGGGUGGUAGUAAUUAAUGAAGUUCUUAUAUCAUUUCGCA